rnacentral:sRNA from 1 species
UACGAAGCAUUGUAUGCCUUGUAGGCCU